AGUGAACGCUGGCGGUAGGCCUAACACAUGCAAGUCGAACGGCAGCACAGUAAGAGCUUGCUCUUACGGGUGGCGAGUGGCGGACGGGUGAGGAAUACAUCGGAAUCUACUUUUUCGUGGGGGAUAACGUAGGGAAACUUACGCUAAUACCGCAUACGACCUACGGGUGAAAGCAGGGGAUCUUCGGACCUUGCGCGAUUGAAUGAGCCGAUGUCGGAUUAGCUAGUUGGCGGGGUAAAGGCCCACCAAGGCGACGAUCCGUAGCUGGUCUGAGAGGAUGAUCAGCCACACUGGAACUGAGACACGGUCCAGACACCUACGGGAGGCAGCAGUGGGGAAUAUUGGACAAUGGGCGCAAGCCUGAUCCAGCCAUACCGCGUGGGUGAAGGAGGCCUUCGGGUUGUAAAGCCCUUUUGUUGGGAAAGAAAAGCAGCAGGUUAAUACCCCGCUGUUCUGACGGUACCCAAAGAAUAAGCACCGGCUAACUUCGUG
rnacentral:rRNA from 1 species